rnacentral:rRNA from 1 species
AAUUGUCCACUGAAAAUUAUCAUUUAGAGGAAGGAGAAGUCGUAACAAGGUUUCCGUAGGUGAACCUGCGGAAGGAUCAUUGUCGAUACCUGCCCAGCAGAGAGACCCGUGAACACGUUGCAUCUUGAUCGGGGGUGGGGUGUGGGGGGGCUCGUGCCGAGCCCCCUACACAUGCCUUCACCCCUUUAUGGUCGGUCGGUCCCCGUGGCCUCCGACCCAACACAACAAUCGGCGCGGUUGGCGCCAAGGAACUCACAAUGGAAAUGGGAGUGGCACCGUCGCGACUUGUGCGUGGUGUGUGCUAUCCUCAGAAUCCGAAUCUUAUUAACGACUCUCGGCAACGGAUAUCUCGGCUCUCGCAUCGAUGAAGAACGUAGCGAAAUGCGAUACUUGGUGUGAAUUGCAGAAUCCCGUGAACCAUCGAGUCUUUGAACGCAAGUUGCGCCCUAGGCCAUCGGGCCGAGGGCACGUCUGCCUGGGCGUCACGCAUCGCGUCGCCCUCCCUCAAACCCCCUUGCGGUGGUUGAGUGCGGAGCGGAGAUUGGCCCCCCAUUCCCCCCCGUCGGGUUGUGGUCGGCCUAAAAGGAAUGUCCCCUUGUGUGAUGAGCACCACGACGAGAGGUGGUUGAUGCCACUCCGUUACACGUCACGUGCUCUAUCUCCGGGGGCCAACAUGGAACCCUUCGAUCUUACGACUGCGACCCCAGGUCAGGCGGCACCCGAUUU